AAUCGGGGUGCCGGGCGCAGGCCCGGCUGAGACGGUUUUCUUUUGUGCAAAACCGAACCCUUGACCUGAUCCGGAUAAUGCCGGCGUAGGAAACAAAAG
rnacentral:ncRNA from 1 species